UACAGAGGUCUCAAGCGUUGUUCGGAUUCAUUGGGCGUAAAGUGUGCGUAGGCGGCGCGGUAAGUCGGGUGUGAAAUCUCGGAGCUUAACUCCGAAACUGCAUUCGAUACUGCCGUGCUUGAGGACUGGAGAGGAGACUGGAAUUUACGGUGUAGCGGUGAAAUGCGUAGAUAUCGUAAGGAAGACCAGUGGCGAAGGCGGGUCUCUGGACAGUUCCUGACGCUGAGGCACGAAGGUCAGGGGAGCAAACGGG
rnacentral:rRNA from 1 species